rnacentral:tRNA from 1 species
GGGCCUGUAGCUCAGCGGUUAGAGCAGAGGACUCAUAAUCCUUUGGUCGUGGGUUCGAACCCCACCGGGCCCACCA